UACGGAGGGUGCGAGCGUUGUCCGGAAUCAUUGGGCGUAAAGGGCGCGUAGGUGGCGGGACAAGCGUGCGGUGAAAGCCUGGGGCUCAACCCCGGGUCGGCCGUGCGAACUGUUUUGCUUGAGCACUGUAGAGGCAGGCGGAAUUCCGGGUGUAGCGGUGGAAUGCGUAGAGAUCCGGAAGAACACCGGUGGCGAAGGCGGCCUGC
rnacentral:rRNA from 1 species